UAAAACGGUCCAGAACAUUCUGAACUAGUAUGUAAAGCCAACGGGGAUAUUUUUAUUGCCAAACAACUCAGAAUGAAUUCUUCCCCUGCAUCAUCAUCAACGCCUCAUUAUGUGGUGAUGUCAAAACAAAGCCGUCAGCGAUUGGAUCACCUCUGACCAAUCAGAGUAUCAAAGCCAAUAAUGAAACACCUCUUUACCUCUGUGUGACCAAUCACAACGGUUAGAAUGUGUUGGCAUUCUAGAAAUCUAGAAGAAACUAACGUACAGCGUUUGGCCGGAGCAAAGAGUUUAGGUAGAGAAUCAAGAUGUUUUUAAUAGAGUCUUAACUAAAGGUAGACACUAGGAGUUUAGGUAGAGAAUCAAUAUGUUUUUAAUAGAGUCUUAACUAAAGGUAGACACUAGGAGUUUAGGUAGAGAAUCAAUAUGUUUUUAAUAGAGUCUUAACUAAAGGUAGACACUAGGAGUUUAGGUAGAUGUUUUUAAUAGAGUCUUAACUAAAGGUAGACACUAGGAGUUUAGGUAGAUGUUUUUAAUAGAGUCUUAACUAAAGGUAGACACUAGGAGUUUAGGUAGAUGUUUUUAAUAGAGUCUUAACUAAAGGUAGACACUAGGAGUUUAGGUAGAUGUUUUUAGUAUAGUCUUAACUAAAGGUAGACAGUAGGAGUUUAGGUAGAGAACAAGAUGUUUUUAAUAGAGUCUUAACUCUAUUCCUUAUAUAGUGCACUACUUUAGACCAGAGCCCUAUACCCUACGUAGUGCACUACUUUAGACCAGAGCCCUAUGGAACCCUAUUCCCUAUAUAGUGCACUACUUUAGACCAGAGCCCUAUUCCCUAUAUAGUGCACUACUUUAGACCAGAGCCCUAUGGCACCCUAUUCCCUAUAUAGUGCACUACUUUAGACCAGAGUUGGUACCCUAUUCCCUAUGUAGUGCACUACUUUAGACCAGAGCCCUAUGGCACCCUAUUCCCUAUAUAGUGCACUACUUUAGACCAGAGCCCUAUGGAACCCUAUUCCCUAUAUAGUGCACUACUUUAGACCAGAGCCCUAUUCCCUAUAUAGUGCACUACUUUAGACCAGCGUUGGUACCCUAUUCCCUAUGUAGUGCACUACUUUAGACCAGAGCCCUAUGGCACCCUAUUCCCUAUAUAGUACACUACUUUAGACCAGGGCCCUAUUCCCUAUAUAGUACACUACUUUAGACCAGGGCCCUAUUCCCUAUAUAGUACACUACUUUAGACCAGAGCCCUAUGGCACCCUAUUCCUAUGUAGUGCACUACUUUA